rnacentral:rRNA from 1 species
UACGGGGGGAGCAAACGUUGUUCGGAAUCACUGGGCGUAAAGAGCGUGUAGGCGGCCAAACAGGUCCGUUGUGAAAACUGGAGGCUCAACUUCCAGACGUCGACGGAAACCGUGUGGCUAGAGUCCGGAAGAGGAGAGUGGAAUUCCUGGUGUAGCGGUGAAAUGCGCAGAUAUCAGGAAGAACACCCGUGGCGAAGGCGGCUCUCUGGGACGGUACUGACGCUGAGACGCGAAAGCGUGGGGAGCGAACAGG